rnacentral:rRNA from 1 species
GACGAACGCUGGCGGCGUGCUUAACACAUGCAAGUCGAACGGAAAGGCCCUGCUUUUGUGGGGUGCUCGAGUGGCGAACGGGUGAGUAACACGUGAGUAACCUGCCCUUGACUUUGGGAUAACUUCAGGAAACUGGGGCUAAUACCGGAUAGGAUCUCCCGCUGCAUGGUGGGGGUUGGAAAGUUUCGGCGGUUGGGGAUGGACUCGCGGCUUAUCAGCUUGUUGGUGGGGUAGUGGCUUACCAAGGCUUUGACGGGUAGCCGGCCUGAGAGGGUGACCGGCCACAUUGGGACUGAGAUACGGACCAGACUCCUACGGGAGGCAGCAGUGGGGAAUAUUGCACAAUGGGCGGAAGCCUGAUGCAGCAACGCCGCGUGCGGGAUGACGGCCUUCGGGUUGUAAACCGCUUUCGCCUGUGACGAAGCGUGAGUGACGGUAAUGGGUAAAGAAGCACCGGCUAACUACGUG